rnacentral:rRNA from 1 species
GACGAACGCUGGCGGCGUGCCUAACACAUGCAAGUCGAACGGGGUAUUUCUUCGGAGAUACUUAGUGGCGAACGGGUGAGUAACGCGUGAGAAACUUGCCUUUCAGUGGGGGACAACAGUUGGAAACGACUGCUAAUACCGCAUAAUGUUAUUUGGGGGCAUCCCUGAAUGACCAAAGAUUUAUUGCUGAAAGAUGGUCUCGCGUCUGAUUAGCUAGUUGGUGAGGUAACGGCUCACCAAGGCGACGAUCAGUAGCCGGUCUGAGAGGAUGAACGGCCACAUUGGGACUGGGAUACGGCCCAGACUCCUACGGGAGGCAGCAGUGGGGAAUGUUGGGCAAUGGGGGAAACCCUGACUCAGCAACGCCGCGUGAAGGAAGAAGGCCUUCGGGUUGUAAACUUCUUUUACCAGGGACGAACACAAUGACGGUACCUGGAGAAAAAGCAACGGCUAACUACGUGCCAGCCGCCGCCGUAAAAC